rnacentral:lncRNA from 1 species
UGACCGACCUUCCUGGCCGGGGACAGAGGCCAAGGGAAUUGUAACCUUACUAAUGGCAUCCCAACAGAGAUAUCACAUGUGCAAAAACAGAAUAGGAGCUCAAGGCUCCUGAUGUUAUUUUUGAACAACUUUCUCUCAAUCAGUUACUUUUUUUUUAGAUUUAUUUAUUUCAAAGUUAGAGUUACACAGAGAGAGGAGAGGUGAGAAAGAGAAAAAGGUCUUCCAUCCACUGGUUGACUCCUCAAAUGGCUGCAAUGGCCAGUGCUGUACCAAUCUGAAGCCAGGAGCUAGGAACUUCUUCCUUGUCUCCCACAUGGGUGCAGGGGCCCAAGGACUUGGGCCAUCUUCUUACUGCCAUAGCAGGCCAUAGCAGAGAGCUGGAUCAGAAGUGGAGCAACCAGGACUUCGACCAGUGCCCACCACUGCAGGUGGUGGCUUUUACCCAUUAGACCACAGUGCUGACCCAACAAUCAGUUAUUUUUAAAGUGCCUUCAUCAGGAUUCCAAGGAUAGCAACUAUUAACUUUUUACAGCAAGCAUCCAAUUACUUUUUGGUAAAGAGUGUCCCUCUUCGGGCCAGCACCGUGGCUCACUUGGCUCAUCCUCUGCCUGCAGCAGUGGCAUCAAAUAUGAGCACCAGGAGCUAGUCCCAGUUGCCUCUCUUCUAGUCCAGCUCUCUGCUGUGGCCAGGGAAGGCAGUGGAGGAUGGCCCAAGUGCUUGGGCCCCUGCACCCACAUGGGAGACUAGGAGGAAGCACCUGGCUCUUGGCUAUGGAUCGGUGCAGUGCCAGCCGUAGUGGCCAUCUGGGGAGUGAACCAAUGGAUGGAAGACAUUUCUCUCUCUCUCACUGUCUAUAACUCUACCUGUGAAAUUAAAAAAAAAGUGUCCCUCUUUCUAAAGGAGAUAAAGCAGCCCAACUUUAUGUUUCCAUUACACCAGGUAUGGAAUUCCCCAUCUUUAUGACUCACCAGGAUCUUGAAGAGAUGGGUGUGCAAGUGAAAGGAGAGACAGGAGAGACAGGACAUGGAAACAGUUCCUCUGCAAAGUGCUGCCAAACUAACCCGGUGGGAUGGAUCACUCUGAAGAAAUCAUUGGAUGAUGCUCUCAGUAGAAGACGUGGACUUAUGCCAGGGAAAAGCAUCAGAGUUUGAGGGUCAUGCAAGUCCAAUCCAAUUUCUACAUAACAAAAUGUUUUUUCUAUUGUGUUUCUUUGAAGUAGAAGUUUUCUAUUUAUUUUUAUUUCUUUUUAUUCACCAUUUUCUACAUCUUGAAAAUUGAUUGAUUCUUCAUUGUUCUAUGUGUUUUUUGAAUUCCUCAUUUUGUUCCUAUGUUAUUAUUGAUAUUGUUGAGUGUUCCUCUGUGUACUUUUCUAGGUUGAACAACAUGCAUACCCAACCUCAGGACACAGAAUAUAUAAGCAAAUGUUGACAG